GCGGCCGUGGCGGAAUUGGCAGACGUGCACGCUUGAGGUGCGUGUGAUUAAACUCGUGCGGGUUCAAAUCCCGCCGGCCGCACCA
rnacentral:tRNA from 1 species